ACCCUGACCAUCCAGCAUCGGACUCAUAACUGCGCUGGACAUGGUAGCUGAGAGGCCCAGAAAAGCGGAAGUGGGCACAGGGCUAUCGAACCCUCAGCGAGGAGGCUUGACCGUGUCCACCCAUAGGAACUGGCGCUGCUGCAGGCUGUGUCUGUGCGGAGACAUGACCCCGAGGAGUGGGGCCACGUGGCUACUUUCAGCUCUGCUCCUUCUCCAGGUCCCAGGCUGUUUGUCUCUGAGCGGCCCCAGGCGCGUGAUGGGCACCGUUGGGGGAUCACUGAGCGUGCAGUGUCGGUACGAGAAGGAGUUCAGAGA